rnacentral:rRNA from 1 species
UACAGAGGUGGCAAGCGUUGUUCGGAAUUACUGGGCGUAAAGGGCGCGUAGGCGGCCUUCUAAGUCGGACGUGGAAGCCCCAGGCUUAACCUGGGAACUGCGUCCGAUACUGGAAGGCUUGGAUUCGGGAGAGGGAUGUGGAAUUCCAGGUGUAGCGGUGAAAUGCGUAGAUAUCUGGAGGAACACCGGUGGCGAAGGCGGCAUCCUGGACCGACACUGACACUGAGGAGCGAAAGCCAGGGGAGCAAGCGGG